GCGGGCAUCGUAUAGUGGUAUAUUACCUUAGCCUUCCAAGCUAAUGACGAGAGUUCGAUUCUCUCUGCCCGCUCCA
rnacentral:tRNA from 1 species